AGGGUUGUAGUUAAAAAUAACAGUUAACUUGCAUUUAAAAAUUAUUGAAAUUUCAAUCUACCUUA
rnacentral:tRNA from 1 species